rnacentral:rRNA from 1 species
CCAGACUCCUACGGGAGGCAGCAGUGGGGGAUAUUGGACAAUGGGGGAAACCCUGAUCCAGCGACGCCGCGUGAGUGAAGAAGUAUUUCGGUAUGUAAAGCUCUGUCAGCAGGGAAGAAAGAAAUGACGGUACCUGACCAAGAAGCCCCGGCUAACUACGUGCCAGCAGCCGCGGUAAUACGUAGGGGGCAAGCGUUAUCCGGAUUUACUGGGUGUAAAGGGAGCGUAGACGGCAGCGCAAGUCUGAAGUGAAAAGCCGGGGGUUAACCCCGGAACUGCUUUGGAAACUGUGCAGCUAGAGUGCAGGAGAGGUAAGUGGAAUUCCUAGUGUAGCGGUGAAAUGCGUAGAUAUUAGGAGGAACACCAGUGGCGAAGGCGGUCUGCUGGACAGCAACUGACGCUGAGGCGCGAAAGCGUGGGGAGCAAACAGGAUUAGAUACCCUAGUAA